rnacentral:rRNA from 1 species
AGCGAACGCUGGCGGCAGGCUUAACACAUGCAAGUCGAGCGGGCACUUCGGUGUCAGCGGCAGACGGGCGAGUAACACGUGGGAACGUGCCCUUCGGGUCGGAAUAACUCAGGGAAACUUGAGCUAAUACCGGAUACGCCCUUUUGGGGAAAGGUUGACCGCCGAAGGAUCGGCCCGCGUCUGAUUAGCUGGUUGGUGGGGUAACGGCCUACCAAGGCGACGAUCAGUAGCUGGUCUGAGAGGAUGAUCAGCCACACUGGGACAGAGACACGGCCCAGACUCCUACGGGAGGCAGAAGUGGGGAAUAUCGGACAAUGGGCGCAAGCCUGAUCCAGCCAUGCCGCGUGAGUGAUGAAGGCCUUAGGGUUGUAAAGCUCUUUUGUCCGGGACGAUAAUGACGGUACCGGAAGAAUAAGCCCCGGCUAACUUCGUGCCAGCCGCCGCAGUAACAC